GCCAAGAUAGCAUAUUGGUUUGAGUGUUAGACUAUGACUCUGGAGACCAGGGUUUGAAUCCCUGGUCAGACA